rnacentral:rRNA from 1 species
AGAGUUUGAUCCUGGCUCAGGAUGAACGCUGGCGGCGUGCCUAAUACAUGCAAGUCGAACGCUUCACAUCGGUGAAGAGUGGCGAACGGGUGAGUAAUACAUAAGUAACCUGGCAUCUACAGGGGGAUAACUGAUGGAAACGUCAGCUAAGACCGCAUAGGUGUAGAGAUCGCAUGAACUCUAUAUGAAAAGUGCUACGGGACUGGUAGAUGAUGGACUUAUGGCGCAUUAGCUGGUUGGUAGGGUAACGGCCUACCAAGGCGACGAUGCGUAGCCGACCUGAGAGGGUGACCGGCCACACUGGGACUGAGACACGGCCCAGACUCCUACGGGAGGCAGCAGUAGGGAAUUUUCGGCAAUGGGGGAAACCCUGACCGAGCAACGCCGCGUGAAGGAAGAAGUAAUUCGUUAUGUAAACUUCUGUCAUAGAGGAAGAACGGUGGAUAUAGGGAAUGAUAUCCAAGUGACGGUACUCUAUAAGAAAGCCACGGCUAACUACGUGCCAGCAGCCGCGGUAAUACGUAGGUGGCGAGCGUUAUCCGGAAUUAUUGGGCGUAAAGAGGGAGCAGGCGGCACUAAGGGUCUGUGGUGAAAGAUCGAAGCUUAACUUCGGUAAGCCAUGGAAACCGUAGAGCUAGAGUGUGUGAGAGGAUCGUGGAAUUCCAUGUGUAGCGGUGAAAUGCGUAGAUAUAUGGAGGAACACCAGUGGCGAA